rnacentral:misc_RNA from 1 species
GGGAGAUGGUCAGCCUCUAAUGGCUCGUAAGAUAGUGCAGACGCUGGUGAUCACUCGAUGACCUCGGCUCUACAUUGCUACUACGGCGAUUCUUGGAGAGCCAGCUGCGUUCGCUAAUGUGAGGACAGUGUAGUAUUAGCAAACGAUAAGUCUACAACUGGUUGUGGCCUAUCGAAAAGUGAACUUCAUAACACAUGCUGUCCCACGCACAUGGAUGAUUUGGACAGAUUUGAUUCGAGUCUGAUCAACCUUCACACAGAUCUAGAAUCGAAAGCAGUGAUCUCCUUGAAAAAAAAAAAAAAAAAAAA